rnacentral:rRNA from 1 species
UACGUAGGGUGCAAGCGUUAAUCGGAAUUACUGGGCGUAAAGCGUGCGCAGGCGGUGAUGUAAGACAGGUGUGAAAUCCCCGGGCUUAACCUGGGAACUGCAUUUGUGACUGCAUCGCCGUGGAGCUGCGGCAGAGGGGGAUGGAAUUCCGCGUGUAGCAGUGAAAUGCGUAGAUAUGCGGAGGAACACCGAUGGCGAAGGCAAUCCCCUGGGCCUGCACUGACGCUCAUGCACGAAAGCGUGGGGAGCAAACAGG